rnacentral:rRNA from 1 species
UUAAAUUGAAGAGUUUGAUCAUGGCUCAGAUUGAACGCUGGCGGCAGGCCUAACACAUGCAAGUAGAACGGUAACAGGAAGAAGCUUGCUUCUUUGCUG